GGCGUCUGCAGCAGCAGGCGCUCGCGAUCGGCGAUCACACCGCCGAUGUGGUACGGCAGGCCGCAGUUGGCGAACGACACGUAGUCGCCGCGCUCGAACACGACGAUCUCGGCAUCCUCAUCCAACCGUCGCGCGCGUGCCGCGACCGAUGCCCCUCCGGCGACUCCGC
rnacentral:antisense_RNA from 1 species